AAAUUUUAGAGAAUAUGUAAUAUUUUUUUAUAUUAGUAUAAAUUCGGUUAUUUUUUGAUGAAUAUAUAAACCGUACAAUGCCAAACAGAUACAAUUGUUGUACCCUUUACACGUAAAAGGGUAUCUUGCAUUCGUUGAAAGGAUCAAUGACCGAGUCAAUCUAGCAAUGUUCGUCUUUCUGUUCGUCUAAACGUCGAGAUCUCAGGCACUACAAGUAAAUCGGUGCGAAAAUGAGCUUCGAACAAAGAGCCAACAUUAAAUUUUUGUUUUAAAAUUGGUAAAACUUUUACCGCAACGUUUCAAUUGAUAAAACAAGUUUAUGGCGAUGAUUGCCUAUCCCGUAGCAAAGUGCACGAGUGGUUUCAACGUUUUCAAAGUGGUCGUGAGGACAUAAAUGGCGAUGAACAUGUAGGCCAACCAAAAUCCGUGAUCACCGAAAAUUUUAUCGAAACUGUGCGUGAAUUCAUAAAAAAUCAGCCGAAAUCAUCAUUGAAAUUAAUGGAAAUAGAACUGAACAUCUCCAAAACAUCGAUUAAUCGCAUUUUGACCGAACAUUUGGGCUUACAAAAGGUGUGUGCACGGUUUGUUCCGCACAAAUUGACUGACGUCCAAAAAUUGCUCAGAAUUCAACAUUUGAAGGACAUAAAAAAGAGGCAAAAAAAGACCCGAACUUUCUUGACAAGAUUGUGACUGGGGACGAAACGUGGUGUUUUUAAUAUGAACUCGAAACGAAACGCCAGAGUGCUGAAUGGAAGGCGCCGGACGAGACGAAACCCAAAAAAUCGCGCCUUGAGAAGUCAAAAGUGAAGACAAUGCUGAUUUGUUUUUAUGAUUCCAAGGGUAUUGUCCAAAAAUAAUUUGUUCCUCCCGGCCAAAACGUUAAUGCGGUAUUCUAUCUUGCAGUUCUGAAGCGUUUGGUGCGCCGUAUUCAACGUGUUCGGCCCGAAUAUCGCGAGUAUGCAAGUUGGCGUUUGUUGCAAGAUAAUGCGCCGUCCCAUCGAUCGACGCUUGUGUCUGACUAUUUAACCAAAAAUCACAUUUUAACCAUCAACCAGUUAUGCUUAAGCAGCGCAAUUUUAUUUUAAAAUGUGUCCACGCCCACUCUAACGCCCACAAAUCGCUAAAGUCUGUCAUUUCACUCUGAAACGUGGAUGAAGCAAUUUCUUAAGCUGUAUAUGCUAUUUUGGUCAAUAUGAGCCAUUAUUUUAUAAGUUAUUUGAUUUGACUCUGCAGUUC